ACUAAAAAUCGCGAAUUUGCAUGAUAUCGAAAGUGGAAGAAUCUGGAUGAAAUGCUGCCAAUGCCCAAGAAUAUUCAGUGAAUUAAUUUUGAUAACAUUUCCCAAACAAUGGCAGGUUUGGAAGAGCUCGGAAUACCUGGUGGAGAAUUUCUCCGCGAGUCGUUAACAAACUGUGCCGACCCACUUGCAGCGAUAGAGGAAUUUCAAACUGACAAUGGCAUAUUAUUGCCAUCACUAAGGCCUGCGUUGCCUUUCGUGGACUUGCAUGAUAUAAAGCGACUUGAUUUCCAUUCUUCGGUUCUUGAAGAGUUACGGGAAAGAUUAGUCCAGCAGAUAUCGGACGUAGCAUCUGGGGAUAAUGAAGAAAGGUACAAAAAACUGGAGAGUUUAUUGGAGAAAAGUUUCCCAGUGAUAAAGGUGAAGAGUUUAAGACCAGUAGUUAUGGCAAUCCUUAAACAUCUCCCCCAAAUCAAGGAUGAAUACUUGGAGAAGAUUCUGGACGAUAAGGAAUUAUAUGCAGAAGCAGCUACAGAAGUGAAAAGACAAAUUUGGUCGGACAAUCAGGCGCUUUUGGAGACGAAGUUUCACCUUUGUUGUCACAAUAUAUCAAAGAAAAAGAAAAUUCCCUGUUCUCACAUGAAAAUAGUGCUCAGACAUUUUACCUUGCAUCUCCAAAAUUAAGAAGACAGAGUGAAGUAGUUCAAAGACUUGCCGAUAUGGUCGGCAAAAAUGUCAAAUUGUAUGAUAUGGUUUUGCAGUUUUUGAGAACUCUUUUUCUAAGAACAAGAAAUAUGCAUUACUGUACUCUAAGAGCAGAACUUCUGAUGGCUCUUCAUGACCAGGAAGUUAAUGACAUCUGUUCUAUAGACCCCUGUCAUAAGUUUACUUGGUGUGUUGAUGCAUGCAUUAGAGAUAAAUUCAUUGACAGUAAGAGAUCCAGAGAGUUGCAAGGCUUUUUGGAUGGAAUCAGAAGAGGACAGGAAUUUGUUCUUGGGGAUCUUUCCAUGGUGCUGUGUGACCCAUUCUCCAUGAAUACAGUUGGGCUCUCGAUGAUGAGGAACUUGCAGCACUGUUUAAAUAAUGAGUCUUUGCCAAGGGAUAGCUCUGAGAUUGUGUUGCUGGUGAGGAUGAUGGGACUUGGUCUGGGAUCUUGGGACAUGAUUGACAGCCAGCUCUUUAGGGAACCAAAAUUGGAAUCAUCACUGUUCACCAAGUUCUUGCCCAUGAUAUCUUCGCUAAUGGUGGAGGACCACACGCGGGUCUUGUCAGCCAAGCUACCUGAGGAGCCACCCCUUAGUGCCACCGCUCCCUCUGAUCUGUUUCUGACUUUUGUUAAAGAGAAUCCCAUAGCCAGCUUCACCACUCUCUACUAUUCUCUGCAGGUGACCAGGAUGAAAGACAGGGUGGCAGCGUGUAACAUAAUCCCCGUUCUUGUACAUUGUGAAAACGAGCGGGCUUAUGAAGAUACCUUUCUGCACUCUCUCAUUUCAUUCCUCAUUGCCAUGUCUGAUGAAUUCGCUCAUGACGAUUUCUGCAGUGUUGUGUUUGAUGAUUAUCUCCUUCCUGGCAUAUCUAGAGAAAAUGUUUUCCGCCAUCUUCUUCGUCUGCUGUGGUACAUACACCCCAAAGUUCCACAGGGCCGACUGCAGGCCAUCUUGGACUGGCACACAGCCCAACAAUGAGGUAUUGAAAUUCUUUAAUGAUAUAGAGUUAUAUUCCCUGGUUUAUAGCUCACAAAUAGGCAAGUGUAAUCAAAGUCAUAUUGUGAUACUGGUCAAUUGUUCAGAUACCUAUGGCCAGUCUUGCACAUACUUAAAUGACUUUGGGCCACAUAGCUGAAUUUUUCUUAUUGACUGAUAUUUUGAUAAGCUUCAGUCCACCUCUGUGAAGAAAAUCACUCCAAUUGUGUCCCCAUUCCUCAAGCAUCUAUUAACAUCUGCAUGUUUUCAUACUUUGACUUCCAUUUAUCUUUCAACUCUAAAAAUUAAAUAGCUUCCCUUUUUCAUUUGUUGAUUGAUUAAGAAUAAUAAAUAUCAGAAUGUCAUGAAAACCAAGAAAAUUUAAGGGAGUUGGCCAACAGUCAAUGUGUGUGUGAGGCUGGCCUUGGGUGUCCGAUGAUGUACCAGUACUUGUCUUUUUCUGUAGCGAUGAAUCACUGUAAGACUCAAGUUCACAAUUUUUUCUAUUGCCAUUGACAGCAUAGUGAAUGUGUUCACACUAUUUACCAACAACUGACAGACAAAAUCAAUGCCUGGCAGCCAAGUCCAGCAACUCCGCAGGAACAACUCGACUCGCCGCUCAUGAGUGUACCUACACCAGCUCCUCUGUAGGCCUGAACGGACAAAAAAUAGUUCCAACAAAACAAAGUAGAGACUGAUAAGAGACUCUCAUGGUGUGGAAUAACAAAUCAUUGUACACUUGAUUGAUGAGUCAAAAAAUUUAUGUGUUCAAUUUUAAGAUAAUAAAUCAUUGUUAGAAUCUC
rnacentral:misc_RNA from 1 species